UUGCACAAUGGGCGCAAGCCUGAUGCAGCCAUGCCGCGUGUAUGAAGAAGGCCUUCGGGUUGUAAAGUACUUUCAGUCGGGAGGAAGGUGGCAAGGUUAAUAACCUUGGCAAUUGACGUUACCGACAGAAGAAGCACCGGCUAACUCCGUGCCAGCAGCCGCGGUAAUACGGAGGGUGCAAGCGUUAAUCGGAAUUACUGGGCGUAAAGCGCACGCAGGCGGUUGAUUGAGUCAGAUGUGAAAUCCCCGGGCUUAACCCGGGAAUUGCAUCUGAUACUGGUCAGCUAGAGUCUUGUAGAGGGGGGUAGAAUUCCAUGUGUAGCGGUGAAAUGCGUAGAGAUGUGGAGGAAUACCGGUGGCGAAGGCGGCCCCC
rnacentral:rRNA from 1 species